rnacentral:rRNA from 1 species
GUCCCGCCUGCCCGUGACUUAGUUUAACGGCCGCGGUAUCUUGACCGUGCAAAGGUAGCAUAAUCAAUUGUUCUUUAAAUAAGGACUAGUAUGAACGGCAUCACGAGGGUUUAACUGUCUCCCUAAUUUAAUUAAUGAAAUUGAUCUUCCCGUGAAGAAGCGGGAAUAUAGUUAUAAGACGAAAAGACCCCAUGGAGCUUUAAAUUUAUUCUCAAUUACCAAACCCAAAACAUAUACCUGGUAAAAAUGAUUAUAAUUUUCGGUUGGGGCGACCCUGGAGAAAAAUUAAUCCUCCAAGCUGAAUAGAUUAAAAAUCUAAUGUUAGAGUGACAACUCAAAUAAUCAAAACCUUGACAAAAUGACCCAGAACAUAUCUGAUCAACGAACCAAGUUACCCUGGGGAUAACAGCGCAAUCCAUUUCAAGAGCCCUUAUCGACAAAUGGGUUUACGACCUCGAUGUUGGAUCGGGAUAUCCUAGCAGCGCAGCCGUUGCUUAAGGUUCGUUUGUUCAACGAUUAAUAAUCCCACGUGAUCUGAKUUCAGACCGGA